rnacentral:rRNA from 1 species
AUACGGGGGGUGCAAGCGUUGUUCGGAAUUAUUGGGCGUAAAGAGCGUGUAGGCGGCCGGAUAUGUCAGAUGUGAAAUCCCUGGGCUUAACCCAGGAAGUGCAUUUGAAACUGUCCGGCUAGAGUAGGGGAGAGGGAAGUGGAAUUCCUGGUGUAGAGGUGAAAUUCGUAGAUAUCAGGAGGAACACCGGUGGCGAAGGCGACUUCCUGGCCCUAUACUGACGCUGAGACGCGAGAGCGUGGGUAGC